GAUAUGGGGAUCGCGAUCUCCCCACGAGGCGACAUGCCCAAGCAUCGCGUCCACGCUCACAUGGAAGCGAAGGGCGCCUCAUG
rfam:Methylocystis sp. SC2 complete genome